CCGCCCCCAGGCCACGUGGUCCGCGCAGGCGCGCCCCUGCCCCGCCCACCGCCGCGGACUCCGCCUCCGGGACGCGAGCGAGCGGACGAGCGCGCGCCCUCCCGUUCUCGUCUACGAUUCCCGCGCACGCGCGCGCCUUUCACCGCCCCCACACCCCCGCCUCCCGCCAUCCGGCUAAACGUGGCCCGCGCGCGCUUCGGCGGUUCCAGUGACAGCUAGACUAUCUCCGAAGGAGUCAGGUGCUGCAGAGACGCGGGCAACAAACAAAGAAUAGAACCAGAAACGUCCCUUCAAAUGGAAGCUGAUGCUCUGCUCUGCACAUGUUACUCGGAGAAAGGGCAGAAAAAGCCCCACUUCACCUCUCCUUAAUGCGACAAACAUCAGCUACACCUCAUUUUUCACAAUUAUCCAAACAGACCAGCCCUCCUUAAGAUAUAUUUCCCAGUGUACGCUUAGAAAAUCGCACCAUUAUCUCUGAUUUAAUCCUCAUGAUAUGAGACCUCUUCGUUUGCUAACUUCUGGUUUUCUCUCCAGAUGCUGCCUGCCGCAGCCUUCUGAGAUCUAAUAACAAAACAAAACAAAAAAAAACCCCUAAUUUGCUACAUUUAACAUUUAUUGGAAUCAUCUUUGGAGACCCAGGCUUAAUUAGAAGAACAAUGCGAUAUGAUCUUCCUGUUUCACAAGUAUUUAUUUUACUGUGGAACUAUUACAGAAAAACAAUUUGGAAACUGCACGUAAAUCCCUGGAGCUGAAAUGGAGCCAACAUAGAUACUCGACUUAAAAAGAAUUCAGUGUUCAGAGCUGGAAAACUCGAAAAACUGCAGUGAGGAGUCAGCAGGAAAAGAAAAUGAGAAAGUUAGGCAAACCUGCCAGCCCUUGCUAACUACAAAGGACAUUUGAGAAGGAAACCGGGACAGCCCUUUUAACACGACUGAAUGCACUAAAUUAAGUAAGGAUCACCAACAACCCCAGGGAACGCUACACUCCUCUCUUUUCUAUUAAGUUUCUUGAUCCCACUCGAGUCAUCUCGAAAUUUUAAGCCCUCUAUAAAACACCAUCAUGCUGUAUGUUAAAAAUAAAUUGCAUAAGUCACCUUUCAGAAGUGGAGGCAGGGUCUGGAGCCUGGAGACUCUCCCUCGGAGUUUGCCAGUCCACCUGGCUCAGAACAAUACUGUAAGAGAUGAGAUUGCUGGUUUUUAUGAGCAAACUGAAAAGGGAGGGGCCAAGUAUAAGGCUCGAUUUAAUCGAGGUUUAGAUACAAUCACGACUUGAUUAAAUUAAUCAACCUUGA